CUUCCUCACCUGCAGCAGCCCCGGCCCUGCUCCAAACGCCCCCUCGGACCCGCUCCCUUCCCCCGGCCCCGAGCCUGAAAUCGUCCCAGCAUGAGUGACAUUGGCUUUCCUAAUGUAAUGACUUAUGAAAGAUAUAAUCAUGUGUUAAAUUGAAUCCUCCGCUUAACUGUUAAUGGUGUGCUCUGGGCACAUUUACGUAUUAGAUGCUAUGGUAACUAAUUACCACUAGAAGAAGGGAUAAUACACUUUCCAGACUUUGACAAAUAAUUAUGAGUGUUCACAUCCCUGCUAGCAGCAGUUGCAGCGGAUCUGCUGGAAUGACUGGUGUCUAUCCUGAUACUACUAUCUACAGAGAUUUUCAGAUGCUUCAAGGCUAGGUUCCUCCUUGCUCUAUGUACCUAUGAAUGUUUCCCUCUCUCCUCCCUUGGGCUAAUUUCAGCAAUAAUCUUGAAGUGCCUGUGCACUUGCUGUGCUUGUGCACUGGCAAGUGAAAUGAAGCCAUCAGCUGAUGCCCUGAAGGCCCAUCCAGCUCCAGAAUACAACUUCUAAUGGUGGCCUCCCUCUGAACCACUGGUCUUGAACUGGAAGACCUGUAUCUCCCUUACAACGCUCUGUUUUGAAUCAAGGAUGAAGAUUUCACUCUCACAGCACUUCUAAAAUCAGCAUGAAGCCUUCAAUGUAGACUGAUGUACUGGUUUUGGCAACAGUAGGGUGUGACCUGUAACUGUGGCACUCUGGAAUAAGUAAUUUACUACACUGUUAU